rnacentral:rRNA from 1 species
CGCGGCAAGACGGAAAGACCCCGUGAACCUUUACUAUAGCUUGACACUGAACAUUGAGCCUUGAUGUGUAGGAUAGGUGGGAGGCUUUGAAGCGUGGACGCCAGUCUGCGUGGAGCCGACCUUGAAAUACCACCCUUUAAUGUUUGAUGUUCUAACGUGGACCCGUAAUCCGGGUUGCGGACAGUGUCUGGUGGGUAGUUUGACUGGGGCGGUCUCCUCCUAAAGAGUAACGGAGGAGCACGAAGGUUGGCUAAUCCUGGUCGGACAUCAGGAGGUUAGUGCAAUGGCAUAAGCCAGCUUGACUGCGAGCGUGACGGCGCGAGCAGGUGCGAAAGCAGGUCAUAGUGAUCCGGUGGUUCUGAAUGGAAGGGCCAUCGCUCAACGGAUAAAAGGUACUCCGGGGAUAACAGGCUGAUACCGCCCAAGAGUUCAUAUCGACGGCGGUGUUUGGCACCUCGAUGUCGGCUCAUCACAUCCUGGGGCUGAAGUAGGUCCCAAGGGUAUGGCUGUUCGCCAUUUAAAGUGGUACGCGAGCUGGGUUUAGAACGUCGUGAGACAGUUCGGUCCCUAUCUGCCGUGGGCGCUGGAGAACUGAGGGGGGCUGCUCCUAGUACGAGAGGACCGGAGUGGACGCAUCACUGGUGUUCGGGUUGUCAUGCCAAUGGCACUGCCCGGUAGCUAAAUGCGGAAGAGAUAAGUGCUGAAAGCAUCUAAGCACGAAACUUGCCCCGAGAUGAGUUCUCCCUGAGACUUAGAGUCUCCUGAAGGAACGUUGAAGACGACGACGUUGAUAGGCCGGGUGUGUAAGCGCAGCGAUGCGUUGAGCUAACCGGUACUAAUGAACCGUGAGGCUUAACCUUACA